rnacentral:rRNA from 1 species
GACGAACGCUGGCGGCGUGCUUAACACAUGCAAGUCGAACGAAGAGCGAUGGACGCUUGCUUCUAUCAAUCUUAGUGGCGAACGGGUGAGUAACGCGUAAUCAACCUGCCCUUCAGAGGGGGACAACAGUUGGAAACGACUGCUAAUACCGCAUACGAUCUGACCUCAGCAUCGAGGAUAGAUGAAAGGUGGCCUCUACAUGUAAGCUAUCACUGAAGGAGGGGAUUGCGUCUGAUUAGCUAGUUGGAGGGGUAACGGCCCACCAAGGCGAUGAUCAGUAGCCGGUCUGAGAGGAUGAACGGCCACAUUGGGACUGAGACACGGCCCAGACUCCUACGGGAGGCAGCAGUGGGGAAUCUUCCGCAAUGGACGAAAGUCUGACGGAGCAACGCCGCGUGAGUGAUGACGGCCUUCGGGUUGUAAAGCUCUGUUAAUCGGGACGAAAGGCCUUUUUGCGAAUAGUGAGAAGGAUUGACGGUACCGGAAUAGAAAGCCACGGCUAACUACGUG